GCCCCUUGACAAGGCACAAGACAAGAACAACAUCUCUGUCAGAAGAAGUGCAGUAUUAUCAUAAGGAGACAUAUACUUGGAAUACGGAGGAGGAAUGGAGGGGAAAAUAGAGGCAGAGGAUGUCUAAGAGAAAGAGGGAGGAAUACGGUGAGCUUGAGUUGGUUAAAAAUGGUGGGAAAAAGGGAUGGUUUGUUAAAAGAAGAAUUGUAGAAAGUGUAAGCAGAGAGCUGAAGACAGGAGGAGAAAUAGAAGUGAAUAAGGUCAAAGUAUCAGAGGUGGUGAAGUUCUCUUAGCCCGAGGCUUGCACUUAGGGUCAGGAUAAAGAUGAGUCUGUGACAGUAGGAGUGAAGUUUUUGGGAAAAGUGGACCCUUGCCUUUUGGCUGAUCCAUUUGUGAAAAUAGAGUUGGGUGCUGUGGAAUCGAUGAGGGUAACCAGAAGUGGUCUUGUGAUAAUUGUUUGUGUUUCUGCUGGUCAGAGGGAGAAGGUGCUCCCAAGUUAAACAAAUGGGGGCAAUAAAUUAAUUUAAUUGUUUUGCUCUCAAGAAUAGGGCACCAUUGAAAGGAGUGAUCACCGGGGUAGCAGUAAAUGUAAAAGUUGACCAACUGAAGGGAAGAUGCCCAGUGGUUGUGAUGCUCGUCGCACAGACAGGGUGGCUUGAGUGAUGAAACAGUCAUUGUCUGUUCUUUUGAGUUUUGAUGUUGUCUUUGGCCGACAAAGUGAUGUUAGGAUAUAUAAGUUAUCCUGUACAAGCUUUUGUGCCGAAUACAUUAUGUUGUUACAGGUGUCAAGCUUAUGGGCAUGUGUUAGCAGUGUGUAGGAAGGAGGAUCCUAGGUGUGAGAAGUCUGCAGAAGGGCAUGAGACAAAGGAAUGUGUAGCAUUGGGGAAAGUAGCGGUGCCCAUCAAAUCAAACUUUAUUUGCCACAUGCGCCAAAUACAACAAAGGUAGACAUUACUGUGAAUUGCUUGCUUACAAGCCCUUAAAGCAACAGUGCAGUUCAAGAAGAAGAAAAUAUUUACAAAGUAGGCUAAAAUCAGAUCAGAAAUGUCCCGUGCGAGAGAUGCAGGUUGAGGUUUCCAAGGUUAGAGUAGUGUAGAAGUUGUCAUAUGCUGAGGCAGUGAAGAAAGUAGGGGAAGAUGAGUCAAGGGGGAGGGGUCCUGAGAGCAGUGGUGUGAAUAGUAGAUCUGUACCAGUACAGAAGGAUAAACCAACAAGUGAUAUGUUUCAGUAAUAUGUUGUUGUUGUUUUUUCAUUUAUAGCAAUGAUUAUCAGCUGUACUGCAGGGAUGGAACGUAAGUCUCAGAAAAUUCAGGUUGUGGUGGCAGCUGCAGAGAGGUAGUUGUCAAAUCUCGCACACACAUCAGAAGCGUUACAGGGUGUGUUAAGUGGUGGUGUCUCAUCCUUUCAUUUUUCUAUUGUGUUAUUGACUGUACGUUUGUUUAUCCCAUGUGUAACUCUGUGUUGUUGUUUUUGUCGAACUGUAUAAGUGAGUUGCAAAGUAUAAGUGAGUUGUACUCCAGUCUAGUAGAUGGCGGCAAUGCAACAUUUAUUUGAUGCCAACCGCGGUUAAACCUCGAAGAAGAAGACCACUUAUCGGUUUCCGGUUCACGGAUGACAGACUUUUUUUUUCUCCCUCAAAUGCGGAAAGGCCCAUGAAUAGGUUUGAUGUGUAACAUAAUAAACAAUACCGUAUUUCAAAGAACAGCGCGCAUAUACUUUUUUAUUUAUCCGCCAACCAAUAACAUCUGUGUAAACAAUGACCAAUAACAAUUUCCACGUUGCAUUUUUGUUGAUAUUUAGACUUUUAUUAACAUCCUGGAACUCAAAACUACACAACAUCACUCCAUGUAGAAUUUAAAUCGCGUUGGAGUCCGAACUUACUUGAUGUUAUCUAGGUAACGUUAGCUAACUGUAUGGAUUUUCACACUCAAAUAGCCUCCAUCAUGGAGCUGCUAGCGAAUUCAGCCGUGGCUGAGAUCUGUAAAUUCGUAGACGACGACUAUGUAGUGUUUAGUUUGGAAAUAAAUCAAAGCCAGAAAGAAAACGGGAUUGCGGCGGAAACUACAGCUCCUGGAAAUGAAGGUGGCACGAGAGCGCGUCCUCGCCAGUCGUCCCAGUAGCGUCAAGAUCGUCGACCGAUACAGAUGAAUGACAAGAGGUACAUUUUUCAGAAGCCGGAUGCCGUGGGUAAUGUCUAGAAGGCAUGUCAUGCCGCUAAUGUCAAAAGAUGAAGGACAUCUCACUUGAGGCUACAGGAGCUUUGUGAAGCCAGCGCGACACAGCAUGUGGAGAGAUGACCAACUCAUAUCUAUAGAUGAGGGUUGUGGAACCUCAACCUAGCAUGUUAUCGUGAUAGAGAGGCUGCAGGUCCUGGGUUAAAGCAGGAGAGGACUGAAGGUGAGGACCUAAGACACAACAGAGACAUUGACUAGAGCAGCGGCUGGAGUGAUGCCCCCUGUAGCCAUGGAGGACCUCCCCACCGUCACCAUGCCCCAGACCAGGACCCAGCACAACGUGAGUGGAACGGCGAACACCAUCCUCAUGUCAGAGACGUACACCAAGACUUUAACUGUAACACAAAGGCUCUUACACACCGGAUCUUCCCACAAAUCAGACCCAGAGAGUCUGAUCCUGGCUCAGAGUAUUUACAGGUAUUUCAGCAGAGCCAGAGGACAGUUAAUUCCUGUGGGGAUAGUGAUGCAGCCAUUAUCCAUCUUGUUCUUACGCUAGAGAUGGACCCUGGCAACAUAUCCUUGGGUUUAGACACAGACUGAUCUGUCUAGAGGGAAUUGGAACCUGUACAGUAGUAGUGUAUACUCUGAAGGGUGGGGAAGGGCAGGGAAGGCGACAUUCCUCCUACAUGGAAUGCAGAGAUUUCUUAGAUUACAGGGAAAGUUUAGAGACAAAUCCAAAUAUUCACAACCCACUCCCCUUUCCACAUGUUCAGGGACUGCGACCCAGUUUCCUCAUCGAUGGGGCCUUCCGAUUCAAACGUCCUUUUCGAUCAGGUAUUGAACUCAAGGGCCAAAUCACGGGGAGGGGAAGCCACAUCAGGCAAUAGUAAAGAGAAACGAUUCCUCUGCAUGUUCUGUAACAAAGGCUUUAGCUGCCUCCAGAAGGUGGAGAUCCACCAGAGGGUCCAGACAGGGGAGAAACCAUUCAGCUGUACCCAGUGUGAUAAGAGAUUCUCCCGCCAGGACCAUUUGAAGAGGCACCAGAGGGUGGAUUCUCCCGACAUCACCAGCUGAACAUGAGCCACAGGGGAGAGAAGCCUGUACACACUGCAGGAAGAGGUUCUUAGAGAAGAGCUACCUAAGGACACACCAGCAGAAAACAAUCCCACUCUAGAACAUAGAAAGAAACCAUUCCACUCGAUAGCUUCUAAUGUUUAGGUCAAACCCUGCAUUAAAGACAAAGAUGAAUUGUGAUUGUUGUCAGCAGAAAACAUCCACAGAUGCAGUUGGAAUUACGAGAGUAAAAGAUUUCAGUGUUCAAUAUUCCUGAGUAAAAUAUUGCAUCUAGACACUGUGAUAUAUAAAACAUACAGUGCCUUCAGAAAGUAUUCACACCCCUUGACUUUUUCCAAAUUUUGUUGUGUUACAGCCUGAAUUUAAAAUGUAUUAAAUAUAUUGUUUUUCACUGGCCGACACGCAAUACCCCAUAAUGUUAAAGUGAGUUAUGUUUUUAGAUAUUUUUUACAAAUAAUGAAUAAAUGAAAAGCUGAAAUGUC